UCACAGCAUGAAGAGAGGUAAUCCAGUAAGGGUUUACCCGCCAACCUGCCUUCUCGGGCAAGGUGGUUCGGAGCUGCAUCGGAGCCCACCUCCCUGCAGUCCCAUGCGGCCGAGAGCCUCUGAGAGAGGUUUCAGCAGUCGGUAAAGAGAGCGAGAUCU
rnacentral:ncRNA from 2 species